AGCGAACGCUGGCGGCAGGCUUAACACAUGCAAGUCGAGCGGGCAUCUUCGGAUGUCAGCGGCAGACGGGUGAGUAACACGUGGGAACGUACCCUUCGGUUCGGAACAACUCUGGGAAACUGGAGCUAAUACCGGAUACGCCCUUAUGGGGAAAGGUUUACUGCCGAAGGAUCGGCCCGCGUCUGAUCAGCUAGUUGGUGGGGUAACGGCCUACCAAGGCGACGAUCAGUAGCUGGUCUGAGAGGAUGAUCAGCCACACUGGGACUGAGACACGGCCCAGACUCCUACGGGAGGCAGCAGUGGGGAAUAUUGGACAAUGGGCGCAAGCCUGAUCCAGCCAUGCCGCGUGAGUGAUGAAGGCCUUAGGGUUGUAAAGCUCUUUUGUCCGGGACAAUAAUGACGGUACCGGAAGAAUAAGCCCCGGCUAACUUCGUG
rnacentral:rRNA from 1 species